CUUGGGCAUUUUCAAGAUCAGUUCCUUGGGCUGCUCUAAGGCAACAAAAGUAUGCCAGGAGUCUCAACAGGGGCAUCUGUGAACUGGACUGGAGAAUCUUCACGACUCAGGUUGUUUAGAGAACAGUAAUUAUGCGUGUGAGUUGCUGGUUUUGUGUGUCUGUAUAAGCCUGUGCUAGACUCAUUCACACCUGGUACUCUGAACAAAGGCAGUCUAAGCUCAGGUAAUCUGCAAAAAUGCUGUGGGUUCACACUACCUGAUUUCAGGGGGCAUACUUGUAUUUCUAAAUAAUAAUAAAAAAAAAGUCCCUGAUGUUAAGAAAGACUUAUAUUGGGAAUAUAAGGGGCACAUAUAUGGCUUAUAUUCACAUUAGCUGGGGCUAGUUCCCUCCUGAGCAGACUCCCACAUUCACAUCAAGCAAUCCUCCUUGGACUCUUUCUGGUGCCCCUAUAGAUCCAACUUGCCAUUCUGGGGUUUUUUGUGUUAUCUUUUUAGAUAAUUUGAAGUAUCUGAAAUUAUGUGAAACUGUAUUACAGGCUGUGAGAAGGGUGCUUUCCUAGCAUGAAAGUGAGGGGGUGUGUUAUAUGUUUUGGCAUGUGGUCACGUUUGAGGGUGUACAGCUCGAGCAGUUUAGAAGAGCAGGCAGUGUGAAGUCAAACAAGAUGUGAUAUCAGGAGCAGUGCUUGGUGCAGACUCUCCCUGCAGCAGUGGGCAGCCACUGCUUGAAAGAGUGCUUGGUGGAACAUGGGGAGGUAAUGAAGAGUUGUGGGGAGCAGCAGCUGGGGCUUGAGCUUGCUCCCCAGCCUGCCGCAGUAAGGACGAGCUCAGAGGAUCCCAAGCAUCUGCCUGCUGCUGGAGCCACCGUGGCAUGGUAAAGCACAGACAGGCGUUUUGACACUAGGAUAAAGGCAUCACUGUAUUUCCUGUGUCAUUUCCACAAAGUCAUGACUUAAAAUCUUGGUCAUAUUGAAACAAAGCACUGACCAAGUUCCAACAAUUCAAGCUUUUGUCCUUGCACUGGACAAGGACUGGCUAAGCACUGUGUAGGUACUAACCACUCUUCUCUUCACAGGCCAUUGUGUGCCUUACCAGUGGCCUCUUUGGGCUCACUUCAAAUCUUUCUUCAACAAAUAUGGCCACAUAAAGUCCAUGAAUUGUAACCCAUGCAGCCAAGAUACAGCAUGUUUAUUUUAGUAGAUUUGGUACAAAUAUAUGCUCUAGAAAGGGAGUUUCUCUGCCAUUUUUCUUACCUCUGCUUAUGGUAAACUGCCCAUGAAUUUUGCUUGCACUGGUCUUCUACUCUGGAUAGGAAAUCCUAUUUCUUAAAAUUCUAAAUUUUGUGGAACUCACUGCCAACCUCAGUUUCCCCAUCACCAAUGCCAGGAUUUUAACUGUAUGAAAAAUAGCAUGCGGGAAAGGGAGUUCUAUAAACAUCUAUUCUUGGAAAAUAACAAGUGAACCCAUACUGAAACCAGUCAGGAUUAAAAAUUAGAAAAUAAAUUUUAAAAGGAUAUGAAGCCUUAUGCUACUUAUACCAACCAAAUGUUAAUUAACUAGGGGUCAAGGAAAAUUUUUUCCUCAAUUAUUCAAUUGAAAUCAUCAGUGUGUCUUAACUAAAGCAGAUGGUGAGGAUCACUACUGCAGCACAGUUCUGAUGCAGUGUAACUCCUGCUGAUGUUAACUUCAGAAAAAUGCUACUUGGCUUAUUAUUUGUUUAAACAAAUAAAACAUAUUUGAAUGAGAAACUUGCAGUGUUUAAGAAACUUUAGCAGUGUUUAGAAAACUUAGUGCUAAUGACUAGCAGUGUUUAAGAAACACUGAUCUUUGCUUGAAACUGUUAAGCUCUGUUUUGUUACCAUUAGUGAGUAGGAAAUACAUGUUUGUACAGUAUCCUGCUUUAACAGUUUAAUCUUUUACUUAGGUUAAACUUUAUUCUACCUGGUAAUAGCUUAAUGCAGUAGCCUAAUUCAACAAUCACUUUUCACUGAUCAUUGAAUUUUUUUGUGGUACUUACCUGAUUAGAGUUUUAUUAGUUCUAGCAGAAAAGAUGCUAAAAAACAGCUCUUCCAGAAUUUCUCUUUUUUUAAUAUCUCAUAUUUUGCUGGUUAGGGACAUUCUUUUGCUGAGGAAUUGUAAACUUCAGUAGUUGUCAAAACUGGCCUUAUAUAAAAAGGUAAAUCACCUCUGACCUGAGACUGUUUAGCAUCUUGACAAGCAGUAAAGCUGAAUAUUAGAACAACUGUUUUCUGUAUGUAUUACUUAUUUUUCAUAAAGACCAGCUGGCAAAGUUUCUCAGUUCUACUGGCCAUUCCAACCUCUUGAGGUGCCUCUAGGUGAUGAAAAACUUUGUGAUAUAUUGAUUAUCACUUCUCACCUACAUCAUUUACUGAAGUGGCACACCAGGCCAUAAACUUUUACUUCUCCAGAAGCCAUGCAAUGGAAAAUUGCUGGCCAAACAUGCUGUUUAGUUCACGCAGCUUCCACAUUGCUCCCACUGUCUGAUCUGCAGUGUCCCAGCCACUGUCAUUACAUACAGUGGAACUAACAAUCUUUGUCAACUAUAUCUAAAUUUUCAGAUAAUUCUGGGCAAAUUGCUCAGUAAACCAUAAUUUAUUGUGUAAUUUUUCUAGAAGUACCUCAAAGUAACAGUUACAAUCAUGAGCUCAUUUUAGAAGAGGCGCUACUAAGAUACAUAUCUUAUUUCUCCUGUGACUACACACUGAGUGAAACAAACAAAAUAGCUUAAUUAUUAUCUUUUAGCAUUGGAGGGUUGAUUAAAUAUGAAGUGAGAUUAAAAACCUACACACAAUUUAUUCAAAGUGACAAAUUAAAUGUAUGUGAAUUACUCUAUAGAGAAAAGCAAGAUUUCCUAUAUACGGGCUACACACUUUUGAAGGCUAGCAGAAACAGCAAAAAUAGUUCUAUCCAAAUUUUAAGAGAAGUAUUUUCCUUUUACAUAGAUACUCUCCUAAAUUAAAAAAAAAAAAAAGUAAGACUGCUUUCAUUUACCCCAAUACAGACAUCUGAAUCUCAUCUUCAUCCUCCCUUCACAGAGAAGGAAAAUGUACCUCCAGAGAACAACUGUGUGACACAGUCUAUACAAUAAAAUGUUAAAAUAAGA